rnacentral:rRNA from 1 species
UACGGAGGGUGCGAGCGUUGUCCGGAAUCACUGGGCGUAAAGGGCGCGUAGGCGGCUUCUCAAGCGUGUGGUGAAAGUCCGGGGCUCAACCCCGGAUCGGCCGUGCGGACUAGGGAGCUCGAGUUCUGUAGAGGCGGGUGGAAUUCCGGGUGUAGCGGUGGAAUGCGUAGAGAUCCGGAAGAACACCGGUGGCGAAGGCGGCCCGCUGGGCAGAGACUGACGCUGAGGCGCGACAGCGUGGGGAGCAAACAGG